GUCCCACCUGACCCCAUGCCGAACUCAGAAGUGAAACGCCGUAGCGCCGAUGGUAGUGUGGGGUCUCCCCAUGUGAGAGUAGGGAACUGCCAGACA
rnacentral:rRNA from 1 species